UGAAUUCGGCUGAUUAUUAUC
rnacentral:piRNA from 1 species